UACGUAGGGGGCAAGCGUUGUCCGGAAUUAUUGGGCGUAAAGAGCGCGUAGGCGGUCCGAUAAGUCGGCUGUGAAAGUCCAGGGCUCAACCCUGGAAAGCCGGCCGAUACUGUCGGACUAGAGUCCGGAAGAGGCAAGUGGAAUUCCCGGUGUAACGGUGAAAUGCGCAGAUAUCGGGAGGAACACCAAUUGCGAAGGCAGCUUGCUGGGACGGUACUGACGCUGAGGCGCGAAAGCAUGGGGAGCGAACAGG
rnacentral:rRNA from 1 species